rnacentral:rRNA from 1 species
GCAUAUCAAUAAGCGGAGGAAAAGAAACCAACAGGGAUUGCCCUAGUAACGGCGAGUGAAGCGGCAACAGCUCAAAUUUGAAAUCUGGCUCUCGGGCCCGAGUUGUAAUUUGUAGAGGAUGCUUUUGAUGCGGUGCCUUCCGAGUUCCCUGGAACGGGACGCCAUAGAGGGUGAGAGCCCCGUCUGGUUGGAUGCCAAAUCUCUGUAAAGCUCCUUCGACGAGUCGAGUAGUUUGGGAAUGCUGCUCUAAAUGGGAGGUAUAUGUCUUCUAAAGCUAAAUACCGGCCAGAGACCGAUAGCGCACAAGUAGAGUGAUCGAAAGAUGAAAAGCACUUUGAAAAGAGAGUUAAAAAGUACGUGAAAUUGUUGAAAGGGAAGCGUUUAUGACCAGACUUGGGCUUGGAUAAUCAUCUGGGGUUCUCCCCAGUGCACUUUUCCAGUCCAGGCCAGCAUCAGUUUUCGCCGGGGGAUAAAGGCUUCGGGAAUGUGGCUCUCUCCGGGGAGUGUUAUAGCCCGUUGCGUAAUACCCUGGCGGGGACUGAGGUUCGCGCAUCUGCAAGGAUGCUGGCGUAAUGGUCAUCAACGACCCGUCUUGAAACACGGACCAAGGAGUCGUCUUCGUAUGCGAGUGUUCGGGUGUCAAACCCCUACGCGUAAUGAAAGUGAACGCAGGUGAGAGCUUCGGCGCAUCAUCGACCGAUCCUGAUGUUCUCGGAUGGAUUUGAGUAAGAGCAUACGGGGCCGGACCCGAAAGAAGGUGAACUAUGCCUGUGUAGGGUGAAGCCAGAGGAAACUCUGGUGGAGGCUCGCAGCGGUUCUGACGUGCAAAUCGAUCGUCAAACAUGGGCAUGGGGGCGAAAGACUAAUCGAACCUUCUAGUAGCUGGUUUCCGCCGAA